UGCCAGCCGCCGCGGUAAUACGAAGGGUGCUAGCGUUGUUCGGAAUUACUGGGCGUAAAGAGCAUGUAGGCGGUUUUGCAAGUCAGAAGUGAAAGGCUACGGCUCAACCGUAGUAAGCUUUUGAAACUGCAAGACUAGAGUGCAGGAGAGGCAAGUGGAAUUCCUAGUGUAGAGGUGAAAUUCGUAGAUAUUAGGAGGAACACCAGUGGCGAAGGCGACUUGCUGGACUGUAACUGACGCUGAGGCUCGAAAGCGUGGGGAGCGAACAGGAUUAGAUA
rnacentral:rRNA from 1 species